rnacentral:snRNA from 1 species
AUCGCUUCUCGGCCUUUUGGCUAAGAUCAAGUGUAGUAUCUGUUCUUAUCAGUUUAAGAAAAUACAGGCCGGGCGCGGUGGCUCAAGCCUGUAAUCCCAGCACUUUGGGAGGCCGAGGCGGGUGGAUCACGA